CCCUUGAAGAUGACAAGGUGUGAGGACACAAAGCUGGGACACCAGCGAGUAGCGUCAUGGGGAUGCUUACGUUAGCUUUGCCCAAAAAGGCUGGAGCGGUGGCUACAGCACAAUGUUGACUAAUCCAUGCUGAUGGGUGUCAGAUUGGAAUUCUCUGCCCCAAAUCCUGUUUUCUAGCAGGAACUGCUUUCCCAAGCAGCUCAGCACCAAGGGGAGGAAAACCAGAAAGCGGCGCGUUGGAUCAGCUGCGUGCUCCCGAGGGUUCCUGUGAAGGCAGGAGCUCUCGCUUCUCGUGUUUACUUCAACACAGCCCUAAAAUAUUCCCAGCCCAUAGCAGAUGCACACAUGAGCAAGCUUGUAGUCGCUGUGGGAUGGGGGAGGCAAUGAGCCCUGUCAUCCCCUACCCUUCCUCAAGUAAUUAUCGCGCGCUUUGCGCCCUAAUGAGAACUGCUCCAUUUUCCUAUCCUUCCACUCCGCUGCUCCUUCCUCACGGCUGCUGCUCAGAGGUCUCCUUCAUAAAGCUGAUCUGGCAAAGGGGUUAUAUUUUAUUUUAAAAAAGAUAAAUCAUUGGAAAUCUGCAGUGUAGCUGUGCAUUAUCAUGCCCAUGACCUGCUAAUUGGGUAACAGGUCUGUGAGGAUGGCGGUGCAGGGAGAAGGGCAGAGCACAGCGAGGAUGGCAGCGGGACAGGGAGCCUCCAACAAGGGCUUCAGUGGGAUGCUGACAGAAAUGGGGAAGCAACAAGUCCCUGCAGCCACGUGAGACUGAAGGAAAGCGAGCAGGCAGGUCUGCAGGAGGCAGAGGAGAGGCGUGCUCUGCAUGCGAGGCCCUUCAGCCUGCAACCACUGCUCAGCCCAGCCCCUGAUGGACCUCUCCUGCUCCAAACCCUGCGGAGAAGCAGAAAAAACCGCUCAGAGCGUUGCCUGACCCGUGGGCUGUUUGUCCCCUGCCAAGCCCCACCGCGUGGCCGUGCCAGGCCAGCCCUGUGCCCCUGCUCCCCUGGGAGAGGAACCUGGCCAGGAUCACAGCAAGCCCCUGCUCGGCUCCAGGCUUACUCCAGCUGCACUUGCAGCAGGAGGAAUGCCCGGCCUGCGUCUGGCUCAUGAUACGCAGGGGAUCGGAGCAGCAGGUGGGGAGGAGGCAGGUCUGUGCUCAGAGUUUGGGCUUCUCAGUUAGAGAGCGACUGGUUGUGCUCUGCCACGGCUGAUCCAGGCCUCCCCAGAGCUCAGCCACGUUCCCAUCCAAGUGCUGUAAGGCUGCACGGCCCCAAACCUCCUGUGCACGGUGUGUCCAGGUGCUGCUGCUGGGCACCUGCGCUACCUUUACCUCCUGCGUUUCCUUUGCACAAGGAUUUAACUUCAUCAAAAGGGUCAAAUGCUCACUGACAACCAGUGUGCUCGGAUUCUUGUGGUCCUUUUCCCUCUCCCA
rnacentral:lncRNA from 1 species